rnacentral:rRNA from 1 species
CUUCGGGUGAAGGUGGCGGACGGGUGAGUAACGCGUAAAGAACUUGCCUUACAGACUGGGACAACAUUUGGAAACGAAUGCUAAUACCGGAUAUUAUGAUUGGGUCGCAUGAUCUGGUUAUGAAAGCUAUAUGCGCUGUGAGAGAGCUUUGCGUCCCAUUAGUUAGUUGGUGAGGUAACGGCUCACCAAGACGAUGAUGGGUAGCCGGCCUGAGAGGGUGAACGGCCACAAGGGGACUGAGACACGGCCCUUACUCCUACGGGAGGCAGCAGUGGGGAAUAUUGGACAAUGGACCAAAAGUCUGAUCCAGCAAUUCUGUGUGCACGAAGAAGUUUUUCGGAAUGUAAAGUGCUUUCAGUUGGGAAGAAGUCAGUGACGGUACCAACAGAAGAAGCGACGGCUAAAUACGUGCCAGCAGCCGCGGUAAUACGUAUGUCGCAAGCGUUAUCCGGAUUUAUUGGGCGUAAAGCGCGUCUAGGCGGCUUAGUAAGUCUGAUGUGAAAAUGCGGGGCUCAACCCCGUAUUGCGUUGGAAACUGCUAAACUAGAGUACUGGAGAGGUAGCGGAACUACAAGUGUAGAGGUGAAAUUCGUAGAUAUUUGUAGGAAUGCCGAUGGGGAAGCCAGCCUACUGGACAGAUACUGACGCUAAAGCGCGAAAGC